UGAUGCUCAAGUGCGUGCAAGAUAAGUAUGUAGGUGGUUCUGAUUGCUAUUCAAGAAAGAAGAAAACCUUAGAUCACUCCAGCAAUGGGGUCAGCUGAGGAAGACUAUUUCCUGAAACAAAGCAUGAAGCCUGGGAUAGCUCAGUAAAUACUGCUCACCCUAAGUAAUGGAUGGAGUUGGGAAGCUGUCCGGCAGACUUUGGUAGACUCUGGAAAUUUGAAAAUCGGACAGAACAAUGAAAGCCAACGUGAGAACCCUUUCAUGGGGACUUUAAAUGCAGAUGGAGAACAUGCUGAUUUUGUUGGUCAUUAAUAGUCAUCUGAAUUUCAAAAUGACCAUUUUCAUUUUUUUCUACUGAUGUGAAACAGUUUCACUCAGUCCUCAGAGAGCAAUUAACCAGACUUUUUGUUGGUAUCCAACAACUGUGCUUGUUGUUUUGUCUUAAGAAAAGGAGGCUGGGAGAUGACUUAGCCUUUCAGGACAAUAAGAAAUUUACAGUUUAAAAAGUGACAGAAAUAGGGUUAGACAUAAGUUUUUAAAUGCCAGGACAUCACAAUGAGAACUGGCAAAAACCAUGAUAUGGAGGAAUGGGUGGCAUCUGCUCUGAAGAUCUGACAACUACUAUCUGUUUUAUCCUACAAGGAAAUGGAGGACAAUUUGAUUCUUAAAGUUCCUUCCCACUUGGUGCUUCAAAUAACACUGCCAUGACUCAUAACCAUUUGGAUAUUUAAAUUGGAAUUGUCUUUUGAGCCAAUAAAAGUUAUGGAAGAAAUCUGCCUCAUAGUCAUAACCUGAGAUUUUUUUCACCCCAACUGAAAUUUCCCAGUUUAAUUAUUCACUUUAUUCAUUAGAAUUUUUAAUUUUUUUUUUUGAGGCAGAGUUUCACUCUUGUCGCCCAGGCUGGAGUGCAGUGAUGUGAUCUCUGCUCAC
rnacentral:lncRNA from 1 species